rnacentral:rRNA from 1 species
UAAUACGGAGGAUGCAAGCGUUAUCCGGAUUUAUUGGGUUUAAAGGGUCCGUAGGCGGUCUUUAAGUCAGUGGUGAAAGCCCACAGCUCAACUGUGGAACUGCCAUUGAUACUGGAGAUCUUGAGUGUAGUAGAAGUAGGCGGAAUAGGGCAUGUAGCGGUGAAAUGCAUAGAUAUGCCCUAGAACACCGAUUGCGAAGGCAGCUUACUAUGUUACAACUGACGCUGAGGACGAAAGCGUGGGAGCAAACAGGAUUAGAUACCCUGGUAGUCCACGCUGUAAACGAUGAUUACUCGCUGUUGGCGACAUACAGUCAGCGGCCAAGCGAAAGCAUUAAGUAAUCCACCUGGGGAGUACGCCGGCAACGGUGAAACUCAAAGGAAUUGACGGGGGCCCGCACAAGCGGUGGAGCAUGUGGUUUAAUUCGAUGAUACGCGAGGAACCUUACCAGGGUUUAAAUGGGAAUUGACAGAUGCCGAAAGGUGUCCUUCUUCGGACAA